CUAUUACUAUCAAUCAUAAUUUUUGACAUAUAAGAUUAUACAGUCUUAAAUUUAAAAGAGUUGUUGGGAUAUCUGUUACUACAGCAUUUGAUGCCUCUCUAUCCUGUUGAGUCAUAGUAUAGAUGCGGGCCUGAGUCUUCUACUUUUGACGUCCUCCUUGCCCAAAGGGUUAGCUCUGAUAAGAAGUCGGUGCAUCUAAAGUCUAAGUAGAUGGUGGUCUUGGUGCAUUUUGAGAGGGCUGCUGAUAUCUGGAGUUUUGGUAGUGGGGGCAGUGUACAGUCUUGUGGUCCUACUGACCACAUCUAAAACAGGCUCCAAAAAACUAGUGAUAGUCCUACUCCAAGUGAAAACCUCUGCAUUUACCACAUCGAGAUUUUUUCUUUGGUUGAUCCUCAUUACCCUUUUGAUGAGUUCCUUGCCGCUUUGACUGAUUGUCUGAGAAACUGUAGAUCUGGACCUCCUUUUUUUGUUGUCGCUUUCUAUUCUAUUGCAUGUUGUCAACCUCUUGCUCCCCUAUUUUGGAUAAAUUGACUACCUCUUGAUAGGAGAUCAAUUGCAUUAGCCGCACUCCAGCAUGGAUCCUGGGCCUUAGCCCUUUCCAAAUCUCUGAGCCUGGAUGCUGUCAGUAGCCACUAAAUCAGGAGCAAAAUGGGAAAGCUCUGUAAAUUUGGCCUCAUACUGCGCCACCAUCAUGUUCUCUUGAAUCAGCCUUGUGAAUUUAUUUUUCUUCUUAAAUUCGAGGUUCUUGAGGAAGUACAUAUCCAUAGACUCUUGAUGGAAAGUGUCCUAAGUAAUUGGCCCAUCAUUUUUUCGUUGUCGCUUGAUGGCUUCCCAUCAUUCAAAUGCCUCUCCCUGCAACUGAUAAGCAGUAAAGCAGAUCUUUUCUUGGUUUGUGCAUUCCAUGCUGGCAAAUGCUUUCUCUAUUUACUUGAGCCACUUCAGUGAUUCGGUGAGAUUAGUGGAGCCUUCAAAAGUAGAUGGUGCCAACCUAUUAAAUUCUUCUAUCUCUUGUUCCGAUCUUAAAAAUGGACCAUCUUUAUUUUCUUGCUGCUCCAUCUAUUGUACGAGUUUGGUUUGGGCUUGUGUAAGAUUUAUCAUCUGUCGACCCUUAACACCUGAAAGACUAAUAAUCUCUUGAUCAUUGUUUAGGGCACUAGAGAUGUCCAUCUUGUUGACAAGAAGGGCUAGCUGCUCAACUUUCAUCCUCUUCUGGUGAAGGUCUACAAGUUGACCUAGUGGCACUAGCAACUCAGGAGGCAUUGGUAGCUCGAAAAGUACCGGCUAUUCGAGAGGCACUACAGGAUUGGG
rnacentral:lncRNA from 1 species